UACGUAGGGGCUAGCGUUAUCCGGAAUUACUGGGCGUAAAGGGUGCGUAGGUGGUUUCUUAAGUCAGAGGUGAAAGGCUACGGCUCAACCGUAGUAAGCCUUUGAAACUGAGAAACUUGAGUGCAGGAGAGGAGAGUAGAAUUCCUAGUGUAGCGGUGAAAUGCGUAGAUAUUAGGAAGAACACCGGUGGCGAAGGCGGCUUUCUGGACUGUAACUGACACUGAGGCACGAAAGCGUGGGGAGCAAACAGGAUUAGAUACCCUGGUAGUCCCUGAGCGGG
rnacentral:rRNA from 1 species